UACGGAGGAUCCAAGCGUUGUCCGGAUUUAUUGGGUUUAAAGGGUGCGUAGGCGGAUCUUUAAGUCAGUGGUGAAAGCCUGCAGCUCAACUGUAGAACAGCCAUUGAAACUGAAGAUCUUGAAUAUGGUUAAAGUAGGCGGAAUGUAUCAUGUAGCGGUGAAAUGCUUAGAUAUGAUACAGAACACCGAUAGCGAAGGCAGCUUGCUGAACCAUUAUUGACGCUGAGGCACGAAAGCGUGGGGAGCAAACAGGAUUAGAUACCCUGGUAGUCCACGCCCUAAACGUUGAUUACUCGUUGUUGGCGAUAUACUGUCAGCGACUAAGCUAAAGCGUUAAGUAAUCCACCUGGGAAGUACGACCGCAAGGUUGAA
rnacentral:rRNA from 1 species